rnacentral:misc_RNA from 1 species
UUGAACACAUGCUUUCAGCAAG